AGUGAACGCUGGCGGUAGGCCUAACGCAUGCAAGUCGAACGGCAGCACAGUAAGAGCUUGCUCUUACGGGUGGCGAGUGGCGGACGGGUGAGGAAUACAUCGGAAUCUACUUUUUCGUGGGGGAUAACGUAGGGAAACUUACGCUAAUACCGCAUACGACCUACGGGUGAAAGCAGGGGAUCUUCGGACCUUGCGCGAUUGAAUGAGCCGAUGUCGGAUUAGCUAGUUGGCGGGAUAAAGGCCCACCAAGGCGACGAUCCGUAGCUGGUCUGAGAGGAUGAUCAGCCACACUGGAACUGAGACACGGUCCAGACUCCUACGGGAGGCAGCAGUGGGGAAUAUUGGACAAUGGGCGCAAGCCUGAUCCAGCCAUACCGCGUGGGUGAAGAAGGCCUUCGGGUUGUAAAGCCCUUUUGUUGGGAAAGAAAAGCAGCAGGUUAAUACCCCGCUGUUCUGACGGUACCCAAAGAAUAAGCACCGGCUAACUUCGUG
rnacentral:rRNA from 1 species